ensembl:lncRNA
GGCAGCAGCUAGCCAAGCCCAAUCUCGGGGGCAUCCUGCACCCACGGCCGGGUGUCCUCACCAAAGACUUCAGAGAGCUGGAUGUAGAUUUUCAACAUGUCUACAGCCUCAACGACCUCGAGGAAGAUGAGCCUGAUCUGUCCAAAUUCCCAAACCUCCCGAAAGGCACUGUGGUCCCUUCAUCCGGACCUAACAUCCCUCAGACCUCAAACACCCCCCCGACCACUAGCUGUCAGAUCCUCCGUCCCUCUGCCCUCCUCUCCUCCUUCUCCACCAGGUAAGACAUGAUCACACUGAUGCCCACACAGUGCUUAUUGUAGGACUGUCAAUCAUCCAUCAAAAUUCUCUUGAUUUUUCUUUUUAAUUGGGCACAUAUAUAACACAAGUCAAUGGGUUUAAUUCUUACUAGAGCUGGCAAGAAAUCUAAUUAGGCUACAUUGCACAGUUGUUAAAGCAUUAAAUUUGACAGCCCUAAUUCUUAAUGCUAAAAUGAUUCAAAUGAGGCACUCGGGGGAAUAUCAGAAAUGUCUGUGUCUGUUCACAACCAAAUGUAAUUUUAAUAUUUAGUUUUUUCUUAUUUUGCCUCCUUCCAUCUGUAACAGGAAGCGCUGGAACCGGCUCUUUGUAAAGUUAUAAAACCAUCCUCCAUAAAGUAAGGCGUGUCAUGCAUGGUCUCUUUGAACCCUUUACUAGGAUCGUCUGUUAAAUUACGAAAUCCAUCCACUAACUUUCUUUCUCUCUAACCUUAGGUUUCAUAACAUGGUAGCAUAACAGCAUCAGGACAUUUUAUUACUAAUUCCGUCUUCUCUCCUACAGAUAUAGGUUUAGGUAUUGCUGGAGUACUGUUAUGUCUUAUUGUACAUCUGUUUUAACAUAAUGCUAAGGUCAUGUUUUACUGGGGGAAAUUAAUGUAGUAUGAUCAUUCUCAAAAAAUGCUGAAGUUAUGAAUUCAGUUCAGUUCUCCCAUAAAAGUUG